GCACAAAUAGAUCAGUUGGGAGAGUGUUAGACUGAAGAUCUAAAGGUCCCUGGUUCGAUCCCGGGUUUCGGCA
rnacentral:tRNA from 1 species